rnacentral:rRNA from 1 species
GUAGGUGGCAAGCGUUGUCCGAAUUAUUGGGGCGUAAAGCGCGCGCAGGCGGUUCUUUAAGUCUGAUGUGAAAGCCCACGGGCUCAACCGUGGAGGGUCAUUGGAAACUGGAGAACUUGAGUACAGAAGAGGAAAGCGGAAUUCCACGUGUAGCGGUGAAAUGCGUAGAGAUGUGGAGGAACACCAGUGGCGAAGGCGGCUUUCUGGUCUGUAACUGACGCUGAGGCGCGAAAGCGUGGGGAGCAAACAGGAUUAGAUACCCUGGUAGUCCACGCCGUAAACGAUGAGUGCUAAGUGUUAGGGGGUUUCCGCCCCUUAGUGCUGCAGCUAGCGCAUUAAGCACUCCGCCUGGGGAGUACGGCCGCAAGGCUG